rnacentral:rRNA from 1 species
ACGCUUGCUACAGGCUUAACACAUGCAAGUCGAGGGGCAUCAGGAAGAAAGCUUGCUUUCUUUGCUGGCGACCGGCGCACGGGUGAGUAACACGUAUCCAACCUGCCCUUUACUCGGGGAUAGCCUUUCGAAAGAAAGAUUAAUACCCGAUGGCAUAAUGAUUCCGCAUGGUUUCAUUAUUAAAGGAUUCCGGUAAAGGAUGGGGAUGCGUUCCAUUAGGUUGUUGGUGAGGUAACGGCCCACCAAGCCUUCGAUGGAUAGGGGUUCUGAGAGGAAGGUCCCCCACAUUGGAACUGAGACACGGUCCAAACUCCUACGGGAGGCAGCAGUGAGGAAUAUUGGUCAAUGGGCGGUAGCCUGAACCAGCCAAGUAGCGUGAAGGAUGAAGGCUCUAUGGGUCGUAAACUUCUUUUAUAUAAGAAUAAAGUGCAGUAUGUAUACUGUUUUGUAUGUAUUAUAUGAAUAAGGAUCGGCUAACUCCGUGCCAGCAGCCGCGGUAAUACGGAGGAUCCGAGCGUUAUCCGGAUUUAUUGGGUUUAAAGGGAGCGUAGGUGGACUGGUAAGUCAGUUGUGAAAGUUUGCGGCUCAACCGUAAAAUUGCAGUUGAUACUGUCAGUCUUGAGUACAGUAGAGGUGGGCGGAAUUCGUGGUGUAGCGGUGAAAUGCUUAGAUAUCACGAAGAACUCCGAUUGCGAAGGCAGCUCACUGGACUGCAACUGACACUGAUGCUCGAAAGUGUGGGUAUCAAACAGGAUUAGAUACCCUGGUAGUCCACACAGUAAACGAUGAAUACUCGCUGUUUGCGAUAUACAGUAAGCGGCCAAGCGAAAGCAUUAAGUAUUCCACCUGGGGAGUACGCCGGCAACGGUGAAACUCAAAGGAAUUGACGGGGGCCCGCACAAGCGGAGGAACAUGUGGUUUAAUUCGAUGAUACGCGAGGAACCUUACCCGGGCUUAAAUUGCAGUGGAAUGAUGUGGAAACAUGUCAGUGAGCAAUCACCGCUGUGAAGGUGCUGCAUGGUUGUCGUCAGCUCGUGCCGUGAGGUGUCGGCUUAAGUGCCAUAACGAGCGCAACCCUUAUCUUCAGUUACUAACAGGUCAUGCUGAGGACUCUGGAGAGACUGCCGUCGUAAGAUGUGAGGAAGGUGGGGAUGACGUCAAAUCAGCACGGCCCUUACGUCCGGGGCUACACACGUGUUACAAUGGGGGGUACAGAAGGCAGCUAGCGGGUGACCGUAUGCUAAUCCCAAAAGCCUCUCUCAGUUCGGAUCGAAGUCUGCAACCCGACUUCGUGAAGCUGGAUUCGCUAGUAAUCGCGCAUCAGCCACGGCGCGGUGAAUACGUUCCCGGGCCUUGUACACACCGCCCGUCAAGCCAUGGGAGCCGGGGGUACCUGAAGUACGUAACCGCAAGGAUCGUCCUAGGGUAAAACUGGUGACUGGGGCU